UUUCCUGUGUCACUGUCACGUGUAAAUCUCAUGGUGCUGCACAGAAGGACAGACUGGGAGCUGAUGUUGUAUAUUUUGGAAACAGGUACAGACUGAAAUGACAUUUCAGUUCACUGGCCUGGCUACAGGAAGCCAAGAGUAGGAGUGCAGUGCUCUCCACCAAAGCUGCAAUGCCUCCUCUAAACACUGUUUAGUUUCCAAACAUGCAGAGUACCCAGGAGACUUGCUCUCAUCAGAUUGAACUAAAUGUGUGCUAUGUAGUUGUGAAGAAAGAUGUCUACUGGCAGCUGCUCUUCUCUUUUGGGAAAACUGCUACUUUGGAGUGUCCUUCUGGAUGAAAGGCAGGAAAACUUCUAUCAUUAAAUAAUAGUAUUGUGGAGCCCCAAAAUAUUGUGUGUUUUAAUGUUGUUGCAUAAUCUUGGGGCUUAUUGAUGCUUUAUGCUCCUGUAUAAUAGCCUCAAACACAUGA